rnacentral:rRNA from 1 species
CAGUAGCCGCGGUAACACGAAGGGGGCUAGCGUUGCUCGGAAUGACUGGGCGUAAAGGGCGCGUAGGCGGUUUGUACAGUCAGAUGUGAAAUUCCUGGGCUCAACCUGGGGACUGCAUUUGAGACGUAUGGACUUGAGUGGAGAAGAGGGUCGUGGAAUUUCCAGUGUAGAGGUGAAAUUCGUAGAUAUUGGAAAGAACACCGGUGGCGAAGGCGGCGACCUGGUCCUUUACUGACGCUGAGGCGCGAAAGCGUGGGGAGCAAACAGGAUUAGAUACCCCCGUAGUCCCUGUCUCUUAUAA